UGGUCAAGUUAUUAAGGGUGCAGGGCGGAUGCCUUGGCACUAGGAGCCGAUGAAGGACGUGAUAAGCUGCGAUAAGCUUCGGGGAGUUGCACGUAAACUUUGAUCCGAAGAUUUCCGAAUGAGGAAACUCACUUAGAGUAAUGUCUAAGUAUCAUUAAGUGAAUACAUAGCUUAAUGAGGGGAACUCAGGGAACUGAAACAUCUAAGUACCUGAAGGAAGAGAAAGAAAUUCGAUUCCGUAAGUAGCGGCGAGCGAACGCGGAUUAGCCCAAACCAAUAAAGUUUUCUUUAUUGGGGUUGCGGACAUAUCAUAACAAAGAGGUAUCGUAAUUGAAGAGGUUUGGAAAGACCCACCACAGAAGGUAAUAGUCCUGUAUGUUAAACGAGAAGACUUUAGAUAUGAUCCAGAGUACCACGGGACACGUGAAACCCUGUGGGAAGCAGGAGGGACCACCCUCCAAGGCUAAAUACUACCUAGUGACCGAUAGUGUAUAGUACCGUGAGGGAAAGGUGAAAAGAACCCCGGGAGGGGAGUGAAAUAGAACCUGAAACCCUGCACUUACAAGCUGUGGAAGCACAUUUCUUGUGUGACCGCGUACUUUUUGUAGAACGGGCCAACGAGUUACGUUAAGUAGCAAGGUUAAGCACUUGAGGUGCGGAGCCGUAGCGAAAGCGAGUUUUAACUGAGCGUUCAGUUACUUGACGUAGACCCGAAACCGGGCGACCUACCCAUGAGCAGGAUGAAGCGAAAGUAAAAUUUCGUGGAGGUCCGAACCCACGAGCGUUGAAAAGCUCGGGGAUGACUUGUGGGUAGCGGUGAAAUUCCAAUCGAGCCCGGAGAUAGCUGGUUCUCCCCGAAAUAGCUUUAGGGCUAGCCUCAAGGUGAGAGAUACGGAGGUAGAGCACUGAAUGUCCUAGGGGGUAUUGCACCUACCGAAGACUAUCAAACUCCGAAUGCCGUCAUCUUAUACUUGGGAGUCAGACUGUGGGUGAUAAGAUUCAUAGUCGAAAGGGCAACAGCCCAGAUCGUCAGCUAAGGUCCCUAAAUGUAAGUUAAGUGGUAAAGGAUGUGGGAUUGCACAGACAACCAGGAUGUUGGCUUAGAAGCAGCCACUCAUUCAAAGAGUGCGUAAUAGCUCACUGGUCGAGUGAUCCUGCGCCGAAGAUUUCCGGGGCUAAAACUUACUACCGAAGCUACGGCAUCAGUAAUGAUGGGUAGGGGAGCUUCCCAUACGGGUUGAAGCAUGACCGUAAGGACAUGUGGACAGUAUGGGAGUGAGAAUGUUGGCAUGAGUAGCGAGAUGUGGGUGAGAAUCCCACAGGCCGUAAACCCAAGGUUUCCAGGGGAAGGUUCGUCCGCCCUGGGUUAGUCGGGACCUAAGCUGAGGCCGAAAGGCGUAGGUGAUGGACAACAGGUUGAUAUUCCUGUACUACCGAUAACCGUUUGAGAGAAGGGAUGACACAGUAGGAUAAGCUAAGCACACUGUUGGUUAUGUGUGCCCAAGCAUUGAGGCAGUCAAAGUAGGCAAAUCCGCUUUGAUAAUGCUGGGAUGUGAUGGGGAGCGAAAUUUAGUAGCGAAGUAGCUGAUUUCACACUGUCAAGAAAAGUCUCUAUCGAGGUUAAAGGUACCCGUACCGCAAACCGACACAGGUGGGUGAGGAGAGUAUCCUAAGGCCAGCGAGAGAACUGUUGUUAAGGAACUCGGCAAAAUGACCCCGUAACUUAGGGAUAAGGGGUGCCACCAUCAGGUGGCCGCAGAGAAUAGGCCCAAGCGACUGUUUACCAAAAACAUAGGUUUCUGCUAAGUCGCAAGACGAUGUAUAGGAGCUGACGCCUGCCCGGUGCUGGAAGGUUAAGGGGAUCUGUUAGAGCAAUCGAAGCAGUGAACUUAAGCCCCAGUAAACGGCGGCCGUAACUAUAACGGUCCUAAGGUAGCGAAAUUCCUUGUCGGGUAAGUUCCGACCCGCACGAAAGGCGUAACGAUUUGGGCACUGUCUCAACAACAGACUCGGUGAAAUUGUAAUUCCGGUGAAGAUGCCGGAUACCUGCGACAGGACGGAAAGACCCCAUGGAGCUUUACUGUAGCUUGACAUUGGGUCUUGGUACUACAUGUACAGGAUAGGUGGGAGGCUUUGAAACCAGGACGCCAGUUUUGGCGGAGCCAUCCUUGGGAUACCACCCUUGUAGUACUGGGACUCUAACCAUAGGCCAUGAAUCUGGUCUUGGGACACUGUCAGGUGGGCAGUUUGACUGGGGCGGUCGCCUCCCAAAAGGUAACGGAGGCGCUCAAAGGUUCUCUCAGUACGGUCGGAAAUCGUACGUAGAGUGUAAAGGCAAAAGAGAGCUUGAUUGCAAGACAUACAGGUCGAGCAAGGAUGAAAAUCGGACUUAGUGAUCCGGUGGUUCUGCGUGGAAGGGCCAUCGCUCAACGGAUAAAAGCUACCCUGGGGAUAACAGGCUUAUCUCCCCCAAGAGUCCACAUCGACGGGGAGGUUUGGCACCUCGAUGUCGGCUCAUCACAUCCUGGGGCUGUAGUAGGUCCCAAGGGUUGGGCUGUUCGCCCAUUAAAGUGGUACGCGAGCUGGGUUCAGAACGUCGUGAGACAGUUCGGUCCCUAUCCGUCGCAGGCGUAGGAAAUUUGAGAAGACCUGUCCUUAGUACGAGAGGACCGGGAUGGACGUACCUCUGGUGUACCAGUUGUCCUGCCAAGGGCAUGGCUGGGUAGCUAUGUACGGAAUGGAUAAGCGCUGAAAGCAUCUAAGCGCGAAGCCAACUUCAAGAUAAGAUUUCCCACCGCAAGGGUAAGACCCCAGAAAGACUAUCUGGUUGAUAGGUCGAAGGUGUAAGUGCAGCAAUGUAUUUAGCUUAUCGAUACUAAUAGGUCGAGGACUUGACCAAU
rnacentral:rRNA from 1 species